AAGUUCUCUCUGAGUUUAUUGAAAUCAGCUCUUUUAAAAUCCAAGACUCUGGUGUCAUUAUGUUCUGUUGCUUGUGUUUGUGUUAUGUUGAAUUCUAGUAUGACAUGGUCACUCUCAGCCAAGGUUCCUGCAAUUUCAACUCCCUCAAUCACUUCUUCUCUUCUUCUUUGUCUAGUAAAGAGAAGGACCAGGGGAGACAUGAUAGCAGU